rnacentral:rRNA from 1 species
UAGAGUUGGCAAAUCCGCUCUUUAAUCUGAAGACGUGAUGUGGACUGAAAAUAAGUAGGGAAGCACGUGAGCUGACUGUCAAGAAAAGCCGCUAUUGUUUGCAGGAUACCCGUACCGUAAACCGACACAGGUGGAUGAGGAGAGAAUCCUAAGGCCGACGGGAGAAGCAUUGCUAAGGAACUCGGCAAAAUGACUCCGUAACUUCGGGAGAAGGAGUGCCAGUAAGAUGGCCGCAGAGAAUUGGCCCAAGCAACUGUUUAGCAAAAACACAGGUCUAUGCAAAACCGAAAGGUGAGGUAUAUGGGCUGACGCCUGCCCGGUGCUGGAAGGUUAAGGGGAGAGGUUAGCGCAAGCGAAGCUUUGAACUUAAGCCCCAGUAAACGGCGGCCGUAACAAUAACGGUCCUAAGGUAGCGAAAUUCCUUGUCGGGUAAGUUCCGACCCGCACGAAAGGCGUAAUGAUUUGGGCACUGUCUCAACAAUGCACCCGGUGAAAUUGAAAUACCAAUGAAGAUGCUGGUUACCUGCGCCAGGUCGGAAAGACCCCAUGGAGCUUUACUCCAGCUUGAUACUGGGAUUCGGUAUUGCAUGUACAGGAUAGGUGGGAGGCUAGGAAAUGGUAACGCCAGUUGCCAUGGAGCCAAUGUUGGGAUACCACCCUUGCAGUACUGGGUUUCUAACCAGCAGCCGUGAUCCGGCUGGGGGACAAUGUCAGGUGGGGAGUUUGACUGGGGCGGUCGCCUCCGAAAGGGUAUCGGAGGCGCUCAAAGGUCCCUCAGAAUGGUUGGAAACCAUUCGAAGAGUGCAAAGGCAGAAGGGAGCUUGACUGCGACACCGACGGGUGGAGCAGGUACGAAAGUAGGACUUAGUGAUCCGGUGGUAUAAAGUGGGAUUGCCAUCGCUCAACGGAUAAAAGCUACCCUGGGAUAACAGGCUUAUCACUCCCAAGAGUUCACAUCGACGGAGUGGUUUGGCACCUCGAUGUCGGCUCAUCGCAUCCUGGGGCUGAAGUAGGUCCCAAGGGUUGGGCUGUUCGCCCAUUAAAGCGGUACGCGAGCUGGGUUCAGAACGUCGUGAGACAGUUCGGUCCCUAUCCGGCGUGGGCGUAAGAUAUUUGAGAGGAGCUGUCCUUAGUACGAGAGGACCGGGAUGGACUGGCCGCUGGUGUAUCUGUUGUCUUACCAAAGGCAUAGCAGAGUAGCCAAGCCGGGAAGGGAUAAACGCUGAAGGCAUCUAAGCGUGAAGCCCCCCUCAAGAUGAGAUAUCUCAUAACGUCAAGUUAGUAAGACCCCUUGAAGACGACGAGGUAGAUAGGGCAGAGGUGGAAGUGUGGUAACACAUGGAGCUGACUGUUACUAAUAGGUCGAGGGCAUAACCAA